CUGAUUUUAUUCUUCCUAUACUUUCAGUUUUUUCCCCCCAGUCUCCAGCUCUAAAAACUGUCCAUAAUGUGGAUUGAAAGGGUCCCAGAAGUUGUUCAGCUCAUUUCCCAUUGGCUCCUUUGGCUAGAACUUGGUGGAACAAGACACAAUUGCCCUGAAAUAGACCUCAGUACCAGAGCCAAAACAUUUGGGAGAUUUUAACCUAACAGCUGAGCAGAUUGUAGAACUGAUACCCCAUGGGUAUAAGGCUGCUCUGAAGAAUUUUUUUUGCCCUUCCUAAUUUUGAUAAUGUAUUAAAUGAUAAUGAGGAUACAUAGGAUACCUAAAUUAGUAGCUGUGCCCAGGCACUGGUCUGAAGUCACUCCAUGUGGACCCAGCAACUGAGCAGUAGACAGAAAGGGCAUCUCCUGAGCUGCCGUGGAGUCCUGUGGGCACCAAGAGGCUGUGGGAUCAAUCAAAGUUCCAACGUGCACUGGGAUGCUUGGUCUCCAGGUCCCUGAAGGGAACAUGUUGCUUGAAAAUACUGGACUGUCCUCUCUUCUGCUAACUACUAGUGAAGAGUGUGGAAAUUGAGAAGCCCCAGGCUAAAGAACAUAGAGCUCCAGGGAAGUUCCCAGUCAUCCUCCGGCCUGCCUGGCUCCCAAGUGUGUUCUUAGCCUUUAUACACUCAGCUCCUCCAAAUGCCAUUUCUGCUCUGACCCUCCUUCUUCAGGGACCUCAGGACUCCUCUGCUUCAGCUUUCACCUCUCUGAGAAGAUCCCCAGUCCAAACUCAGUGAUGACCCUCCUUCCACACCCUCCACACCAUCACAAACUUGGUGUUCCCAUCACAGCAGCUGCCCCUCCACUCUAACUCACCUCCCUCCAUCUUCCCGGCCUCUCUGUGAAGGGGCCAUUGACUUUCUGGGCACACAGCUCCGAAAGCCCAGAGUUAUCUUCGAUUUUGGACUCCCCGUCUCCUUCAACCUUAAAAAUAACCAGUCCCUGGCGUCUUAGCACCCCCUCUGCCAGCUUGCUCACCUCCUCCCCCGCCCCUCCAGACCACUCCUGGGAGGUGGUCCCUUGCUAUGAGCCAGAGCAUGGGUUUAACAAGAAAUUACAACACAUACAAAGGUUCUCUCCAGCUUUCCACUCUCUGUGGUUUUGCAGCAUCAGGUCUUCC